CCUGCUCCAGAAGAACCCAGUGAGAUUCUCGCAGCACUUCAUCGAGUGCAUCUUCCACUUCAACUACUAUGAGAAAUACAAGACCUACAACUAAUUCCCUCAAAAGACCAGGAGACCAGAACAAAGAGAGGAGGGUAAGGGUCUAUACGUUCCUGCUGGAGCACUUUAGACACCUAGUGCUUUAACAUCACCAUCAAGAUCAGCUAGAACAUCCUAGGAAAUGGCAGUUAGUUGCAAAAUAUGAGUUCAAAUGCAUGCUUUGUGGAUGGGGAGCUGCCCUUGGACAGUGGUGGGGAGGCGGUGCCUGCCAAGACAUUUGGGAUCCUCAGCCUCAAGGAGAUCAAGCCGUCAGCGCUGAGUGGGGCAGCAGGGGCUGGUGGCGACGAGUAGAUUGCCAUGGCCAAGGUGGACCAGAAGAAGAUAGUUUCAUAGAAGAAAGAUUUGAUCGAUAA
rnacentral:lncRNA from 1 species